AUGCUCAGGCGCCGAAAUUCACAAGUACGCAGGUCAUAUAAUGAUAUUCCGUUCUGGUGCUACUGGAGAAGUUACUGGCCACUGAGGUCAGCUUGGUUUAUCCGAAGAAGAUCAACAGACAGCUUUGGAGCUCAGGCAGAAGUUGAACUUCAUCAGAAUUCCUUACUCGAGCCACUGACACAAACAAAAACAGGGGAAGUCAGGAAUGAUCAGAGUCACUCGCUUGAGACCUCAAGUGGCCUUGGUGGAAAGUUACCUGAUCCUAUGAUGAAACUUAAAAUCCCAAAAGAUUUUGCUGGAGAUGCUGUUCUCAGUGGUUCUGAAUGGCACCAUUUUUUACAUGCAAAAGAUCUGCAAACUGUCGUCAAUGAAACAGAGAAAUGGUUAUCGGGCAAAUUGUCUUUGGCACUCCUGCAAAAUGGGCCAGUUUUUGCGAUUGAAGGGAAAGAUGUCUCUGAUAUGCUAUUCCAGAAUGGUGCAGUUUGUGUGGUAAGAAAUGACCAGCUCUCAGAGGUGGUCAUCACAAGGAGACUCUACAGCAAUAGCAUUACUGCUACACUAAGGGAACGCCAAGCUGGAACUUCUGAAGUCUCUGAUAUCAAGAUCACGAAAACAGAGUUUGGUGGUAAUGGCUGGACUCGCCGAAAGUAUUCAAUCGAAGGCGAUGAUGGAUAUCAUGUGUUCCAGUGGCGCCCCCGAGAAUCGGAUAGCAAGUUGCAGACCAAACCGAAGCAAAAGGCAAAAGUGAAGCACAUUCAGGAUGAAGUUGCUGUGCCGCCAUCGCCAAGAGUUGAGCCACAGAUUCCGGACUUCUCCCUAAGCAACUGCAUUUCCAUUGCAACGGCGAUUCCUGAGCUGUCACCAGUUGAGAAGGCAAACAGUUGUGAUAUAUUCAGAGAUGAUGUCAAUAGGCAGAUAUUUGUUUGCGCUGAUCAAGAAACCCGCCUUGCAUGGUUAAGAAAGCAGAUGGCGCCAAUACUUGAUUGA
rnacentral:rRNA from 1 species